UUUCCGUAGGUGAACCUGCGGAAGGAUCAUUAAAGAGUAAGGGUCCUCUAGGCCCGACCUCCCAACCCUUUGUUUACCAAACCAAUGUUGCUUCGGCGGGCCCGUCUUAGGACCGCCGGAGGACCGUCGAAACGUCCUCUGGCCCGCGCCCGUCGAUGGCCCUUAUUAUUAAACUCUGAACCAAACGUGUCCUGUCUGUGUGAUUAUUAUCAAAAUUAAAGCAAAAACUUUCAACAACGGAUCUCUUGGUUCUG
rnacentral:misc_RNA from 1 species